rfam:Dipodomys ordii contig_40925, whole genome shotgun sequence.
GGGAAUGUGGCUUAGCGGUAGAGUGCUUGCUUGGCAUGCAUGAAGCCCUGGGUUUGAUUUCCCAGUACCA